rnacentral:rRNA from 1 species
CCUACGUGUGGCAGCAGUGGGGAAUAUUGCACAAUGGGGGAAACCCUGAUGCAGCGACGCCGCGUGCAGGAAGACGGCUCUAUGAGUUGUAAACUGCUUUUGUACAAGGGUAAACCUGAAUACGUGUAUUCAGCUGAAAGUACUUUACGAAUAAGGAUCGGCUAACUCCGUGCCAGCAGCCGCGGUAAUACGGAGGAUCCAAGCGUUAUCCGGAUGUAUUGGGUUUAAAGGGUGCGUAGGCGGAUUGAUAAGUUAGAGGUGAAAUGUCCGAGCUUAACUCGGGAACUGCCUCUAAUACUGUUGAUCGAGAGAGUAGAUGCGGUAGGCGGAAUGUAUGGUGUAGCGGUGAAAUGCUUAGAGAUCAUACAGAACACCGAUUGCGAAGGCAGCUUACCAAUCUAUAUCUGACGUUGAGGCACGAAAGCGUGGGGAGCAAACAGGAUUAGAUACCCGUGUAGUC